UCCACAUCCUCCACUGUCUCUGGUAAGGAGAUUCCCUUUGUCUCUGGUAAAAGGAGUACCAGGAGCCCACAGACAACUGCGAGAAUACCUACAGUGAACAUUGAAGAUAUACAAAAACAAUAAGAAAAUUACUUUUCUUAUUUUCAGAGUUUAUCCACUGAGGAAAGUUUAUUCAGAUUAAGGUUGGUUUAGUAUUUUUGAAGCACAACAGUUAUUUCUGAUUACAUCUGCAAUGUUACAUUAAUCUUAUCAGACACCUGUAUGCUGCAUAAAUUUAACCUAUUCUAAAAAACCCCUUAAAGCUAGAGCUUCAUUUGCAGCCUGUAUUGGUCCCAGAGGGAGAUCUUACAAGUCAAAAGCCUCAGAUAAGUGCACAUGGACAAGUGCAUACAAACUGCAAUGUAAUCAAAAUGUUAUUUCUCAUAUUAGAUAUAUCUCCUUUUCUUCAAGAGGCUCUAUCUAUCUUGUAGAUGCAUCAAUGUUUCUUGAGACCACUGAGAUUUUCCUGAGCUACCCUCUUCAUGUAUCCAUGACCAAAGUAGAUUAUGUGAUUCAGACUAAGAAUUCAUUCUUGGGAAAGAGCAUUCAGAUACAGAGCCAGUUCGAAAUGGUUAAUUAGGAAUGGUUAUUUUGGAAUAAUUUCCUCAAAAAGUAAAAUGCUCCCUGACUGCUGCACAGCCUCCCUUGGUUCUCUCUGAUUUUGCAGCUCUUUAUUCCAGACAAAGGGAAUUCAGCAGCGGAAUUUCAGAAUUAGGUAAUGUGAACACUGCACUGCUGUAUGUGUCUAUUCUUGGGUUAAUCUUUUAAAAUGUCUUGUGUUCUUUCCAUUUUUGUUUUCAGCUAAAGUUGUCAUUAGCACCAAUUUCCCUACUUAUUCUAUCCCUUUUGCAUUCAAUGCAGUCAAGUGUAUCUCCUGGAAGUCUGGUUUAGCCACAGAUUCAUGUUUCCAUGUGGGAAAUAAGUAUUUUAAUUAAUUUUUUUUGCCCACAGAAUUACUCCACAUGGAUAUUUUUUUCUAAAAUGCAACUGAGAAAAAGAAUUUGUCAGUAAUAUGAAGUUAUGGUUAAUACAACAUCCAUGGUCAUAGCUGUACCUGCCGAAAAACCCAAACCAACUAUUUCUUAAAAGACAUUAACCUCUACUCCGGGGAGACUAAGCUUGCUUCUCUGUAAUUACAGAACUUAGCUGUAAGUUUUCUCAGUCUUAAAGCACCUCACACAGUUUCUUUUAUGCUCCUUCAGCCAAGUUAUACAAGCAGACCUGAGCAAAUCCAUGGCCUGCCGUGAAAUCACCCACACUUCACCCAUUUGCCAUUCAGCCUCUUGCUCUAGGUGUGAGGCUUGAGAGGAGCUGGUCUGAAUGGGAGAUGAAGCCACACACUACAGUUUUGCCCUGAAAGAAAAGCU